UCUAUGAUGGUGCUAAUUAAAUUUAAAAUUUAAAAAGCACUAUUUGCAUGUCAACUACGCAAUUCAACGCACAAUGGACAUGCUCUUCUUAUGACUAACAACAAGCAACCAUUGGAAAAGAGAGGAUUUAAGAAACCGAUAAUGAUUUCUUGUUGCAUCUGCUUGCUGGUAGGACUAAAGAUGAUGAUGUUCCAUUGAAUGUUCGCAAGAAACAACAUCAGGCAAUAUUAAAUUAUGAACUUUUGAAUGCUGCAUACACAGUAUUCGCUAUUUUUCUAGCCUCAUGAUGUAUGUAGGAUCAACAAAAAUUAAAUGUCAUGGUCGUGAUCUCGCAGAUGCCCCACAUCUACUUGACUAAGAGGGCUCGUCGGAUGGUAAUUUAUAUGACACUCCACAUGGUGCCUGGUCCAUGUAGCAACAUGUAGCACCAACUAUCGUAAAACGGAUUUCAUUGAUUUUAGGAGAAAGAAUGAUCAGGGACCAACCCAUCGCAAAGAUUCGUGUAACCGAAAGCCUAACAAAUAGAAAGCAGCAUAGAAAUUCGCUUAGUGUGCUAGGUGCUAUCCUGAGCGUAUCGCAAUAGCAAAUAUCGCGUGACCGCGUGCUGUGCUGCGCAGUUUCACUCCGGUCAGCGGAUGAAUCGCGCGUGUUCAUCGCGAGUAGUUUUGUUGCUGCAGAUCAUAAAUAGAUUUACAAUCGAUUUAUAAUUCAAAUAACAAUCGACGACAUUUACUGGAAUCGGGCGUGAGCGAAGUUUUGCCAGAUAAUAAGCGCGAGUGAGUUUUCGUCGACCGUCCGUAAUUAUUUUCGGUGUGAAGAUUUACACUCGUGCUGGCCAUGUGCAUGGAGUGUGUGUCUAUCGGCAGUCGGUUAUCCCCCAGAAGAAAAACAUGGAUUUGGGUUUCAUUUGAAUAAAUAAACAACGUAUGUGCCAGAAAUGCCAGUUUGCGAAUUCAGGGGAAUAGAAGAUUUGCAGUUGUGUAUAUUCAAAGGCAAGUCAUUCAUGGAAUUUAAUAGUCGCCGGUACUUUUCUCUUGAAAAAUAUACCUAUGUAUUUGUAAAUGUUGUCAAUAAAACAAAAAAUAA